rnacentral:rRNA from 1 species
AAGACUCUCGGCAACGGAUAUCUCGGCUCUUGCAUCGAUGAAGAACGUAGCGAAAUGCGAUACUUGGUGUGAAUUGCAGAAUCCCGUGAACCAUCGAGUCUUUGAACGCAAGUUGCGCCCGAAGCCAUUAGGCUGAGGGCACGCCUGCCCGGGUGUUGCACAU